GACGAACGCUGGCGGCGUGCUUAACACAUGCAAGUCGAACGGAAAGGCCCUGCUUUUGUGGGGUGCUCGAGUGGCGAACGGGUGAGUAACACGUGAGUAACCUGCCCUUGACUUUGGGAUAACUUCAGGAAACUGGGGCUAAUACCGGAUAGGAGCUCCUGCUGCAUGGUGGGGGUUGGAAAGUUUCGGCGGUUGGGGAUGGACUCGCGGCUUAUCAGCUUGUUGGUGGGGUAGUGGCUUACCAAGGCUUUGACGGGUAGCCGGCCUGGGAGGGUGGCCGGCCACAUUGGGACUGACAUACGGCCCAGACUCCUACGGGGGGCAGCAGUGGGGAAUAUUGCACAAUGGGCGGAAGCCUGAUGCAGCAACGCCGCGUGCGGGAUGACGGCCUUCGGGUUGUAAACCGCUUUCGCCUGUGACGAAGCGUGAGUGACGGUAAUGGGUAAAGAAGCACCGGCUAACUACGUG
rnacentral:rRNA from 1 species